CGCCUGUUUAUCAAAAACAUGUUUUUUUGUAAUAUAAUUUAAAAUUUGACCUGCCCACUGAAUAUUUUGAAGGGCCGCGGUAUUUUGACCGUGCAAAGGUAGCAUAAUCAUUAGUCCUUUAAUUGUGGACUGGAAUGAAUGGUUUGACGAGAUAUUAACUGUCUCUUGAUAAUAUUUUGAAUUUAACUUUUAAGUUAAAAGGCUUAAAUGAUCUUAUAGGACGAGAAGACCCUAUAGAGCUUAAUAAUUAUUUAUUUUAAUAUAUUUUUGGUUUUAUUAUUUUAUUAAAAAUGUAAUUAUUUUAUUGGGGUGAUGUAAAGAAUUAAUAAACUCUUUAUUUUUAAAUACAUUAAUUUAUGAUUAGUUGAUCCAUUAUUAGUGAUUAUAAGAUUAAGUUACCUUAGGGAUAACAGCGUUAUUUUUUUUGAGAGUUCUUAUCAACAAAAAAGAUUGCGACCUCGAUGUUGGAUUAAGAUAAAUAUUGGGUGUAGAAGUUCAAUAAUUAGGUCUGUUCGACCAUUAAAUUCUUACGUGAUCUGAGUUCAGACCGG
rnacentral:rRNA from 2 species